rnacentral:rRNA from 1 species
GAUGAACGCUAGCGGCAGGCCUAAUACAUGCAAGUCGAACGGUGUCUUCGGACAUAGUGGCGCACGGGUGCGUAACACGUAUGCAACCUACCUUACAUUGGGGGAUAGCCUUUCGAAAGGGAGGUUAAUACCGCAUAAGACAGUAGCUGGGCAUCCAGCAGCUGUUAAAGAUUUAUCGAUGUAAGAUGGGCAUGCGUCCAAUUAGUUAGUUGGCGAGGUAAUGGCUCACCAAGACUUUGAUUGGUAGGGGAACUGAGAGGUCAAUCCCCCACACUGGCACUGAGAUACGGGCCAGACUCCUACGGGAGGCAGCAGUGGGGAAUAUUGGGCAAUGGACGCAAGUCUGACCCAGCCAUGCCGCGUGCAGGAUGAAGGCGUUAUGCGUUGUAAACUGCUUUUAUACAGGAAGAAACGACUCUUGCGAGAGGCAUUGACGGUACUGUAUGAAUAAGCACCGGCUAACUCCGUGCCAGCAGCCGCAGUAACAC